UACGAAGGGGGCUAGCGUUGUUCGGAAUCACUGGGCGUAAAGCGCACGUAGGCGGACUUUUAAGUCAGGGGUGAACGGCCGGUCAACCCCGGAACUGCCUUUGAUACUGGAAGUCUUGAGUCCGAGAGAGGUGAGUGGAACUCCGAGUGUAGAGGUGAAAUUCGUAGAUAUUCGGAAGAACACCAGUGGCGAAGGCGGCUCACUGGCUCGGUACUGACGCUGAGGUGCGAAAGCGUGGGGGAGCAAACAGGAUUAGAUACCCGUGUAGUCC
rnacentral:rRNA from 1 species